rnacentral:rRNA from 1 species
UACGUAGGGUCCGAGCGUGUCCGGAAUUAUUGGGCGUAAAGGCUCGUAGGCGGUCCGUCGCGUCGGGAGUGAAAACUCGGAGCUUAACUCCGAGCCUGCUUCCGAUACGGGCAGACUAGAGGUAGGCAGGGGAGACUGGAAUUCCUGGUGUAGCGGUGAAAUGCGCAGAUAUCAGGAGGAACACCGGUGGCGAAGGCGGGUCUCUGGACCGAAUACUGACACUGAGGAGCGAAAGCGUGGGGAGCGAACAGG